rnacentral:rRNA from 1 species
AUUGAACGCUGGCGGCGUGCUUAACACAUGCAAGUCGAGCGGUAACAGGCGUAGCAAUACGUGCUGACGAGCGGCGAACGGGUGAGUAAUGCUUCGGAAUCUUCCUUGUAGUGGGGAAUAACCUGGGGAAACUCAGGCUAAUGCGGAAUACGAACCAUGGUCGAAAGCGGGGGAUCGCAAGACCUGGCGCUACAAGAUGAGUCGAAGUCGGAUUAGCUAGUUGGUUGGGUAAAGGCCUACCAAGGCGACGAUCCGUAGCUGGUCUGAGAGGACGACCAGCCACACUGGGACUGAGACACGGCCCAGACUCCUACGGGAGGCAGCAGUGGGGAAUAUUGGACAAGGGGGGCAACCCUGAUCCAUCGACGCCGCGUGUGUGAAGAAGGCCUGCGGGUUGUAAAGCACUUUUAGUGGGGACAAAAAGCCGAGGGCUAAUACCUUUCGGUCUUGAUUUAACCCAAAGAAAAAGCACCGGCUAACUCUGUGCCAGCAGCCGCCGUAACAC